UACGGAGGAUCCAAGCGUUAUCCGGAUUUAUUGGGUUUAAAGGGUGCGUAGGUGGGAUAAUAAGUCAGAGGUGAAAGCUAGCAGCUUAACUGUUAAAUUGCCUUUGAUACUGUUAUUCUUGAGUAUAGUUGGCGUUGGCGGAAUGUGACAUGUAGCGGUGAAAUGCGUAGAUAUGUCACAAAACACCGAUCGCGAAGGCAGCUAACGAAACUAUCACUGACACUGAUGCACGAAAGCGUGGGGAGCAAACAGG
rnacentral:rRNA from 1 species